GACGAACGCUGGCGGCGUGCUUAACACAUGCAAGUCGAACGGAAAGGCCCUGCUUUUGUGGGGUGCUCGAGUGGCGAACGGGUGAGUAACACGUGAGUAACCUGCCCUUGACUUUGGGAUAACUUCAGGAAACUGGGGCUAAUACCGGAUAGGAGCUCCUGCUGCAUGGUAGGGGUUGGAAAGUUUCGGCGGUUGGGGAUGGACUCGCGGCUUAUCAGCUUGUUGGUGGGGUAGUGGCUUACCAAGGCUUUGACGGGUAGCCGGCCUGAGAGGGUGACCGGCCACAUUGGGACUGAGAUACGGCCCAGACUCCAACGGGAGGCAACAGUGGGGAAUAUUGCACAAUGGGCGGAAGCCUGAUGCAGCAACGCCGCGUGCGGGAUGACGGCCUUCGGGUUGUAAACCGCUUUCGCCUGUGACGAAGCGUGAGUGACGGUAAUGGGUAAAGAAGCACCGGCUAACUACGUG
rnacentral:rRNA from 1 species